rnacentral:rRNA from 1 species
CCUACGGGAGGCAGCAGUGGGGAAUAUUGCGCAAUGGGCGAAAGCCUGACGCAGCGACGCCGCGUGAGGGAUGACGGCCUUCGGGUUGUAAACCUCUUUCAGCUCUGACGAAGCGAGAGUGACGGUAGGAGCAGAAGAAGCACCGGCCAACUACGUGCCAGCAGCCGCGGUAAUACGUAGGGUGCAAGCGUUGUCCGGAAUUAUUGGGCGUAAAGAGCUCGUAGGCGGUCUGUCGCGUCGAAUGUGAAAACCCCGGGGCUCAACCCCGGGCCUGCAUUCGAUACGGGCAGACUAGAGUUCGGUAGGGGAGUCUGGAAUUCCUGGUGUAGCGGUGAAAUGCGCAGAUAUCAGGAGGAACACCGGUGGCGAAGGCGGGACUCUGGGCCGAUACUGACGCUGAGGAGCGAAAGCGUGGGGAGCGAACAGGAUUAGAUACCCUGGUAGUCCACGCCGUAAACGUUGGGCGCUAGGUGUGGGGGUCCUUCCACGACCUCCGUGCCGCNGCUACGCAUAGCGCCCGCCGUCGGGUAGGUACGGCCGCCGACGACGUAAACCGUUAAACGGUAAAGUUAGACGGCGUGAGACGUGCCGACGGACGACCGACCGAGGGGAGGUAGG